rfam:Gossypium raimondii Chr05_contig_511, whole genome shotgun sequence.
AAUCCAUGCAUCGGAUAUUUCCUUAUUAACUCUUUAAAUCGCUCCCAAGUUUUAUAUCACGUCUCAUCUUCAAAUUGCCGAAAAGAUGUAAUAUCAUUUCUCAACUU